AGUUAUAAGGCAAUUUGUUGUUUGGGAUGUUAGCUCUCAUGUCUAAUUCACUUUAAAAUCUAAUGACUUUGAUCUAUAUACACAAUUGUCAAUCUGUAUUUACUCCUGCUCUAACCCAGUCAUCAUUGUUAAGUGUAUUGAAUUAACAUGUUCUGUUCUAUCUGCUAGCUAGCAUGGCACUUUCUAUUGCAUUUAUAACUUUAUUAGUAAGUGCAGAUGUUCUGAAAUAGUAACUAAAUUACUCCCCUUUCUUGUAACUUCAGGUUUGUCAAAUUGGUUGAGUUAUUGUUAGGAUGAUCUAAACUUUGUGACAGUGGGUCCAUGACAAGGUCUGCAUACUGCCUCUGAAAAAAGCUGUCAAAGAGCCUAAAGUGAGUCGAUGAUAUACAACAUCGAUCAUAAAAGGAUUUGAUCCCAACAACAUUGGCUGCAUCAAGAUUGCAUGAAGAUAACAUGAGAAACGGAUUGAUAAGAGAGCAAGGCCAGUGAGAAGCAAAGUUAUCUUAGAAAUUCAUGUACAAGUCAAUUUUUUUAUUUUUACCUUUUGCAAAUCAUUGUAAGGCAACCUACUUUUUCAGCAGGUUUCUUGGAUUGGGAAGGGAGCAGGGCGUGCAAGGGGACUUCAUGGAUUUUAAGAGAUUAGAGAAUGAAAUUAUGGGGAUCCCUUUAGGAUGAUUCCCCCGUUUAAUUUUUUUAGCUUAGUUGUGAUGCCUAAGUUACUAAUGGAAAUGUUCUGAGAUGAAA